rnacentral:rRNA from 1 species
AUUGAACGCUGGCGGCAUGCCUUACACAUGCAAGUCGAACGGCAGCACGGGUGCUUGCACCUGGUGGCGAGUGGCGAACGGGUGAGUAAUAUAUCGGAACGUACCUUAUUGUGGGGGAUAACGCAGCGAAAGCUGUGCUCAUACCGCAUAAUCCCUAAGGGGGAAAGCGGGGGACCUUAAGGCCUCGCGCAAUUAGAGCGGCCGAUACCUGAUUAGCUAGUUGGUGAGGUAAAGGCUCACCAAGGCAACGAUCAGUAGCUGGUCUGAGAGGACGAUCAGCCACACUGGGACUGAGACACGGCCCAGACUCCUACGGGAGGCAGCAGUGGGGAAUUUUGGACAAUGGGGGCAACCCUGAUCCAGCAAUGCCGCGUGAGUGAAGAAGGCCUUCGGGUUGUAAAGCUCUUUUGUCAGGGAAGAAACAGCAGCUCUAACACAGUUUGCGAAUGACGGUACCUGAAGAAUAAGCACCGGCUAACUACGUGCCAGCAGCCGCAGUAA